UCUGGUAAUGAUGGCAGAGAGGCCACACCCGUUCCCAUACCGAACACGGAAGUUAAGCUCUCUAGCGCCGAUGGUAGUUGGGACCUUGUCC
rnacentral:rRNA from 1 species